CACGUAGUUAGCCGGGGCUUCUUAGUCAGGUACCGUCAUUUUCUUCCCUGCUGAUAGAAGUUUACAUACCGAAAUACUUCUUCCUUCACGCGGCGUCGCUGCAUCAGGGUUUCCCCCAUUGUGCAAUAUUCCCCACUGCUGCCUCCCGUAGGAGUUUGGGCCGUGUCUCAGUCCCAAUGUGGCCGGUCACCCUCUCAGGCCGGCUACUGAUCGUCGCCUUGGUGAGCCCUUACCCCACCAACUAGCUAAUCAGACGCGGGUCCAUCUCAUACCACCGGAGUUUUUCACACUGGACCAUGCAGUCCCGUGCGCUUAUGCGGUAUUAGCAGUCAUUUCUAACUGUUAUCCCCCUGUAUGAGGCAGGUUACCCACGCGUUACUCACCCGUCCGCCACUCAGUCAAAGAUAGCUUCCUACCGAAGUAAUCUGCUUUCAGUGCUUCGUUCGACUUGCAUGUGUUAAGCACGCCGCCAGCGUUCAUCCUGAGCCAGGAUCAAACUCU
rnacentral:rRNA from 1 species